rnacentral:rRNA from 1 species
UACGUAGGGUGCAAGCGUUGUCCGGAAUUAUUGGGCGUAAAGAGCGUGUAGGCGGUUCGAUAAGUCUGCUGUAAAAGUCGGGGGCUCAACCCUCGAAGGCCGGUGGAUACUGUCGAGCUAGAGUACGGAAGAGGCGAGUGGAAUUCCUGGUGUAGCGGUGAAAUGCGCAGAUAUCAGGAGGAACACCAAUUGCGAAGGCAGCUCGCUGGGACGUUACUGACGCUGAGACGCGAAAGCGUGGGGAGCAAACAGG